ACUCAAUAGAUACCCGGGUAGUCCACGCCCUAAACGAUGUCAACUAGGUGUUGGGAGCGCAAGUUCUCAGUACCGCAGCUAAACGCGUGAAGUUGACCGCCUGGGGAGUACGGUCGCAAGAUUAAAACUCAAAGGAAUUGACGGGGACCCGCACAAGCGGUGGAUGAUGUGGAUUAAUUCGAUGCAACGCGAACAACCUUACCUACCCUUGACAUGUCUGGAACCCUGCUGAAAGGCGGGGUGCCGAACGGGAACCGGAACACAGGUGCUGCAUGGCUGUCGUCAGCUCGUGUCGUGAGAUGUUGGGUUAAGUCCCGCAACGAGCGCAACCCUUGUCCUUAGUUGCUACGCAAGGGCACUCUAAGGAGACUGCCGGUGACAAACCGGAGGAAGGUGGGGAUGACGUCAAGUCCUCAUGGCCCUUAUGGGUAGGGCUUCACACGUCAUACAAUGGUCGGUACAGAGGGUAGCCAACCCGCGAGGGGUAGCCAAUCCCAGAAAGCCGAUCGUAGUCCGGGAUCGCAGUCUGCAACUCGACUGCGUGAA
rnacentral:rRNA from 1 species